ACUCCAGUGAAGAAAUAGUAUAUAUUUAGUAAUUUUACACUGAGGUUUUCAAAGCGCAUUUUGAUCGUUUCAGGGACAAGCCGUCAAGAUACAGCUAUGAAUUCCGUUUUCGCUUUCAUGCUAAUUGUUGGGGCUACUUUGGCGGUGCCAAGACCUGGUCGUCAUCAUACAUACAGGUACGGCUCUUUUGGAUCCGGUAUAGGAAUUGGUUCGUUGUAUGGCGGUGGAUCACGGUAUAGAUCAAGCUACGGAAUUGGGUCACCGUAUGGAUCAAGCUACAGACUCGGGUCAACGUAUAGAUCCGGCUUAGUCGGUGGGUCACCGUAUGGAUCAAGCCACGGAAUCAGGUCACCGUACGGAUCAAGUUACGGUAUUGGAUCACCGUACGGAUCAAGCUACGGAAUUGGGUCACCGUAUGGAUCCGGCUUAGGCGGUGGGUCACGGUAUAGAUCAAGCUACGGAAUUGGGUCAUCGUACGGAUCACUGUAUGACGGGUAUGGGCCCGAUCGUGACGAUGACGACUAUAGAUCUAGUUAUGGCAGGAGCUAUGAAUCACCAUAUAACAGCUAUACAUCCAGUUACGGAUCUGGCAUCGGAAGCGGAUCUCUAUACGGCCGAUCUCAUUACGGUGGAAGCAGAUACUAAUUUGCGAUUGUUAGGAGGUCGUUCAGGCGGAAGUGGUCGAUGUUCGCGGUGGUAUCGGAAUAUUUGUUUAGAAAUCUACUAAUAACCUCAGGAUUAUGGACGUUUAUUAUAUUAACAAAUGUCCGCCAUCGUUAAUAUUGACAAAUUUUGCAGAUGUUAAAGAUCGUUGUAUUGGUGUUGACCUUUGUCAUUUAAAACUACUCAAUGUGCCCAUGCAUUAAUGUGUAUACAUACACAUACACUUCAAACACAAUUAAAUAUACAUUUUCAUCAAAGACACUAGAACAUCAAGUUUUGAAGCAUGUCAUGAUUUAAUUAACUUUUUCUAUAAUAAAUAACUGUGCCACAUACCACUUAAUAAAAGUUGUAGUUUGCGUUUAUUUUAUUUUAUUAAUGUGUAUGAAUUAGUUAUUACUGUAUGUAUAUAUGUUGCAUUUUUUUCCAAAAUAUAUUUUACAUAAAAAAACUCAAUCAUGUGUGCUUUCUUUUUCAUUUAAUUGGUGUCUUUGUAUUUCUCAUUCUAGUCUGACCUAAGCCAUUCCAUUGUUGAUUGCCUAGUGGCAGUUUACAACAUUAUUUAAUACGCAUCACACAAUUUGCUCAAUAAAUAACACGAUACGUAUAAGGUCAUUAACAUACACUAUUUUAAAUGGAUGUUUGCUUGAAAAUUG